AGUGAACGCUGGCGGUGGGCCUAACACAUGCAAGUCGACCGCAGCAAAGGUAAGCUUUGUCCUUUGCGGUUGGCGGGGGACGGCGGGGUAAGAAUUAAAUGGAAUUCUUUUUUUUCUGGGGGAAAACCGUGGGAAACCUACCACUACACCCCAAUACAUCCAACGGGGAAAAUCAGGGGUUCUUGGACCUUUUGCGGUUGCAUGUAGCCGUUUCGGUGUCGCAUUAUCUAGUGGGUAAGGUAACGGCCAGCCAAGGCGACGAUCCGUAGCUGGUCUGAGAGGAUGAUCAGCCACACUGGAACUGAGACACGGUCCAGACUCCUACGGGAGGCAGCAGUGGGGAAUAUUGGACAAUGGGCGCAAGCCUGAUCCAGCCAUACCGCGUGGGUGAAGAAGGCCUUCGGGUUGUAAAGCCCUUUUGUUGGGAAAGAAAAGCAGCAGGUUAAUACCCCGCUGUUCUGACGGUACCCAAAGAAUAAGCACCGGCUAACUUCGUG
rnacentral:rRNA from 1 species